rnacentral:rRNA from 1 species
GAUGAACGCUGGCGGCGUGCCUAAUACAUGCAAGUCGAGCGAACAGAUAAGGAGCUUGCUCCUUUGACGUUAGCGGCGGACGGGUGAGUAACACGUGGGUAACCUACCUAUAAGACUGGAAUAACUCCGGGAAACCGGGGCUAAUGCCGGAUAACAUUUAGAACCGCAUGGUUCUAAAGUGAAAGAUGGUUUUGCUAUCACUUAUAGAUGGACCCGCGCCGUAUUAGCUAGUUGGUAAGGUAACGGCUUACCAAGGCAAGGAUACGUAGCCGACCUGAGAGGGUGAUCGGCCAGACUGGAAGUGAGACACGGUCCAGACUCCGACGGGAGGCAGCAGUAGGGAAUCUUCCGCAAUGGGCGAGAGCCUGACGGAGCAACGCCGCGUGAGUGAUGAAGGUCUUCGGAUCGUAAAACUCUGUUAUUAGGGAAGAACAAAUGUGUAAGUAACUGUGCACGUCUUGACGGUACCUAAUCAGAAAGCCACGGCUAACUACGUG